rnacentral:lncRNA from 1 species
UCUAAGAUCAAUAUCAGUAGAUCUUUGAAGUAAAUUAUUUGGUCAGUGAGUAACAUAUCAAAAGAAGUGAUUUUGAAGAAAUAAUGUCAAAUUCCUUCGGAGUUUUUGUUGUAGGUCAGUAACAAUUUAGAAAUGGUGCUGGUAUUCAAAAAUUUACUAGGUAAAUUUUACAGUCCAGUCACUACCAUGGAACACAUUGGGAAUCACACUCUUGUGAGCUGUUCAGUAACCAUUGUGUAUGUUUUAUUCAGCCAUGUGUUUGCAAAACAGAGUUCCUUUUGAU